AUACGUAGGGUGCAAGCGUUGUCCGGAUUUAUUGGGUUUAAAGGGUGCGUAGGCGGUCUAUUAAGUCAGUGGUGAAAUCCAACAGCUCAACUGUUGAUGUGCCAAUGAUACUGAUGGACUUGAGUACAGACGAGGUAGGCGGAAUUGACAGUGUAGCGGUGAAAUGCAUAGAUAUUGUCAAGAACACCGAUAGCGAAGGCAGCUUGCUAGCCUGUAACUGACGCUGAGGCACGAAAGUAUGGGGAUC
rnacentral:rRNA from 1 species